rnacentral:rRNA from 1 species
GACGAACGCUGGCGGCGUGCUUAACACAUGCAAGUCGAGCGGUAAGGCCCUUUCGGGGGUACGACGAGCGGCGAACGGGUGAGUAACACGUGGGUGACCUGCCCUUAGCUCUGGGAUAAGCCUGGGAAACGUGGGUCUAAUACCGGAUAUGACUCCAUGACGCAUGUUGUGGGGUGGAAAGCCUUGUGCGGCUAGGGAUGGGCCCGCGGCCUAUCAGCUUGUUGGUGGGGUGAUGGCCUACCAAGGCGACGACGGGUAGCCGGCCUGAGAGGGCGACCGGCCACACUGGGACUGAGACACGGCCCAGACUCCUACGGGAGGCAGCAGUGGGGAAUCUUGCGCAAUGGGCGAAAGCCUGACGCAGCGACGCCGCGUGGGGAUGACGGCCCUCGGGUUGUAAACCUCUUUCAGCCCUGACGAAGCGAAAGUGACGGUAGGGGCAGAAGAAGCACCGGCC